CAAUAUCUGAUUGAGGUAUGGGGUAGC
rnacentral:sRNA from 1 species